rnacentral:rRNA from 1 species
CACGGGGGGAGCAAGCGUUGUUCGGAGUCACUGGGCGUAAAGGGCGUGUAGGCGGUCAGGUAAGUGGGAUGUGAAAUGCCCCGGCUCACCCGGGGAUCUGCAUUCCAAACUGCUUGGCUUGAGUAUGGGAGAGGAUGAGGGAAUUCCUGGUGAAGCGGUGAAAUGCGUAGAUAUCAGGAGGAACACCGGUGGCGAAGG